GGGAAGGCGAUUGAUGAAAGACCCUUUUUAUUAUUAAUCGAAGUAUUUCGUUUAACACACGCAAAUAUCAUCCAUCACCUUGAAUGUGCUCAUAUCAAAAUAUUGACAAAUAGAGCUACAGUUCUUCAGCUAGGUGCACCGCACAUUCUAGAGAUGCUAAUGGUAUAGAUUGUACGCAAAUGAUUUACUACAAUCAAAAGAACCACGGCCAGAAUUUCGAAAAAAAUACGCCACCCACAAUCUCAAGGUAGUGUCGAAAGAUGAAAUGAUGACCACGACACGUUAGUAAGCUGGAUGAGAGGUGAUCAAAUGGAGCAUUGGAAUUCAGUUCUUGUAAUGUCACCAUAUGAGGCAAUGUUUGGCUGUGCUCUAGAAGUCGGGUUGGCGUCUACAUCGGAUUCUGAUGAUACCUCUUCUACAAGAGAACUGCAAAUUACUGGACCCUAGAACACGCCAUCCGAAAACAAAAGCCCAGACAUCUCUUUCCAAAUUCAACUAUCCUACCAAAACCCUAGCACAGGUCACAGUUCCAAACCCAACACAAGAAUUUCCAUCGAAAUUAGAACGAGGGUGUUUGACGUGUAAUGAUGCGUUUCAAACUAAUGACAAUCACAAAAACAAUUGUAACAUUCGUGAUCGAUUACAGAGCAUCCAAAGAGAGCAACAUAAAUCUGUCUAAACAAGCAGACAAAAGGAUCACAAGACACAUGUUACUCCCGUUCAAGUGGAUGACAAUUGAUAUUCCAGCUGUGGACUGAGGACGUGGAGAUGAAACCGCUAAAUCAUCUUAGAAGUGGACGAAAAAGAAUAGUUCAAAUUAAGGACAUUUUAUUUUAACGACUUCACUCCAUCCUCUUAUCAUCCUUUAGUGAUUGGAGGCAUCAACAAAGAAAAUUGAAUCAGUGAUAUAGAAACCGCUCGGCUUCAGUAUGCUGAGGAUGGGCAAGGCUUCACAAAAUGUGCAUACAAAAGUGAGUGCAUAAACAUGCAAACGUAACUUCGUAACUCUAGAUGUAGCAACAGUCUUCCGUGGCACAACAUGUACAGUAUUAUGUUUUCUGAUUGCCAGAGAUUCCGUGGCAAAACAAGUACAGUAUUAUUAGCUCACCUGAGCUGAAAGCUCAAGUGAACUUUUCUGAUCACCUGUUGUACGUCGUCUGUAAACUUUUUACAUUUUCGACUUGUUCUCCCGAACCACUUGGCCAAUUAUAACUAAACUUAGCCAAAAGCAUCCUUGGGUGAAGGACUUUCACGUUUGUUCAAAUGAAGGACCAUACCCCCUUCAAAAGGGAUAAAAUGCAAAAAUAGGGUGGGGUCAUUUAAAAAUCUUCUUCUCAAGAACCACUGAACCAGAAGAGCUGAAAUUUACAUGAAAGCUUCCUGACAUAGUGCAUAUUUACGUUUGUUAAAAUCAUGGCCCCCGCGGGUAGGAUGGGGCCACAAUAGGGGAUCAAAGCUUUACAUAGAAAUGUAUAGGGAGAAUCUUAAAAAUCUUCUUCUCAAAAACUGCUGGGCCAGGAAAGCGGACAUUUACAUGAAAGCUUUCUGACAUAAUGCAGAUUCAAAUUUGUUAAAAUAAUGGCCCUCGGGGGUAAGUUGAGGCGACAAUAGGGUAUCAAAUCUGUUUCAAAUAUAUUGGGAAAAUCUUUAAAAAUCUUCUACUCAAGAACCAUUGAGCCAGAAAAGCUGAGGUUAACAUGAAAGCUUCCUGACAUAAUGAAGAUUCAAGUUUGUUAAACUCAUGACCCUUGGGGCUAGGAUGGGGCCACAAUAGAUGAUCAAAGUUUUACAUAACUAAUAAAUAGAAAAAAUAUUUUAAAAAAUUUCUCCUUCAGAACCAUUGGGCCAAAGAAGUUUACAUUUGCACGAAAGAUUUCUGACAUAGUGCAGAUUGAAAUUUGUAAAAAUCAUGAUCCCCAGGGGUAAGAUGGGGCUAAAGUAGGGGAUCGAAAUAUUACAUACAAAUAUAUAGGGAAAAUCAUUAAAAAUUUUCUUCUGAAAAUCAUUGGGCCAGAAAAGUUUGUUUACAUGAAAGCUUCCUGACAUAGUGCAGAUUUAAGUAAAAAUAAUGGUCCCCGGGAGUAGGUUGGGGCCACAAUAGGGAUCAAAGUUUUACAUGUGAAUAUAUAUAGAAAAAAAUCUUUAGGUGACUCAGGUGAGCGAUGUGGCCCAUGGGCCUCUCGUGUUUUCUGAUUGCCAGAGAUAUGUUCACUUUUCAAUCAGCAUGUAUACAUGUACUUUACAUUUAUUGAUAAAAUAUCAUUUUAAAACUUUUACAUAUGUAGUCAUCCUGCCAUUAUAAAGGUGAUAGUUUGAUAUUUUUCAUGACCAUUGACAACGUGUAAAACUGUCUAGAAUUUUGAGUAAAUACAUGAAACAUGCAA